CAUGGAGAGCUUAGAGCUUGGAGCUUGGAGCUUGGAUGAGAGCUACUUGGGCAAUUCAUAGGGCAUCUUUAAGUCUCGAGGUUUAGCAAAAGUGCAUUUGGCACGUAAAUCGAGGACGGGCAUGCAUCUCGAGGAAUCUCGAAAAAUAGUCCAAGGUUCGACCAGCAGCGCAAAAGGAAAAGAAAUAGCGGAAUGGUAGAUUUAUGUUGCCGCAUGUGGCACACUUAUCAUGUCUUUUAUUAUGUAUGAUGUAUUAAAUGAUGUAAACCCUAGCAUGUUUUGAUUAUAUUUGAGGCAUUCAGUUAAUGUAUUGGGAGACAUCAUCAUGUAUUUCGUUUGGAGAACUUUUGGAACGAUUUCAUUUAUUAAGUGAUGUAAUAUGUUUAUGCACUA